UCCCUGGUGGCUCAGCUGGUAAAGAAUCUGCCUGUAAUGUAGGAGACCCAGGUUUGAUCCCUGGUUUGGGAA
rnacentral:tRNA from 1 species